UGGCGAACGGGUGAGUAAUACAUCGGAACGUGUCCUGUAGUGGGGGAUAGCCCGGCGAAAGCCGGAUUAAUACCGCAUACGACCUAAGGGAGAAAGCGGGGGAUCUUCGGACCUCGCGCUAUAGGGGCGGCCGAUGGCAGAUUAGCUAGUUGGUGGGGUAAAGGCCUACCAAGGCGACGAUCUGUAGCUGGUCUGAGAGGACGACCAGCCACACUGGGACUGAGACACGGCCCAGACUCCUACGGGAGGCAGCAGUGGGGAAUUUUGGACAAUGGGCGCAAGCCUGAUCCAGCAAUGCCGCGUGUGUGAAGAAGGCCUUCGGGUUGUAAAGCACUUUUGUCCGGAAAGAAAACUUCGAUCCUAAUAUGGUUGGAGGAUGACGGUACCGGAAGAAUAAGCACCGGCUAACUACGUGCCAGCAGCCGCGGUAAUACGUAGGGUGCGAGCGUUAAUCGGAAUUACUGGGCGUAAAGCGUGCGCAGGCGGUCUGUUAAGACCGAUGUGAAAUCCCCGGGCUUAACCUGGGAACUGCAUUGGUGACUGGCAGGCUUUGAGUGUGGCAGAGGGGGGUAGAAUUCCACGUGUAGCAGUGAAAUGCGUAGAGAUGUGGAGGAAUACCGAUGGCGAAGGCAGCCCCCUGGGCCAACACUGAC
rnacentral:rRNA from 1 species